CUGACAUUCGUUUCAUGCAUACCCCCAGCCAGGGGGGAUUUCGAUCUCCCUCUCGACAGCCACCAAAUUUAUCUGCAUUUACGGCUAUGAGCUUAUGACCUAGCCAGAUUCGCAAAAGAGAAUUCCUUCGAAGCAGACGAAACCAAUUGACAGCGAGUAUAACACCAUACUCCCUGAAACUAAACCUUCGUAUCAAAGCAGUAUCAUCUCUGUUCAUAAUCACUGGAGCAGCAUCUAAGAGAAAUAUGCUUACCACCACUUCGAAUACAGGAGAUUCUUACACCACAAUCAGUGAGAGAGUCUCUUUUGAAAAAGAAAUCAAGAAAAGCAGAUUCAUUGCCAUUGCUGCUCCUGUCUCAGACGAACAAUCAGCUCAUUCAUUUCUAUCCGAGGUUAAGGAUUCACGGGCCAAUCAUAAUUGUUGGGCGUAUAAGAUAGGAGAUCAGUAUCGAAGUAAUGACGAUGGUGAACCGUCAGGUACAGCUGGGAAACCAAUAUAUUCAGCAAUUGAUUCAUCAGGAAUUGAUAGGGUUAUGGUUGUUGUUAUCAGGUACUUUGGAGGUAUAAAAUUGGGAACAGGAGGAUUGGUAAGGGCUUAUGGAGGAGUCACUUCCGAAUGCUUGAAAAAUGCCCCAACUUGUCUUGUAAAAUCCAAAGUUCAAAUUGAUAUGGAAGUUCCUUACGAUCUGUUAGGACUUGUAUACCAUCAGCUUCAACAUUUUCAAGUUGAAAAUAUCAAGCAGGACUAUGAUACUGGAAAUGACGGUAUCACUGUUGUUAGUUUCAUGGUUGAUUAUGACAAAGUGGAGAGCUUGGAGAAUGCUGUCAAAGAUAAUUGCAGCAGGAAUAUCGUCUUUCUCAAAACACUAAAGCAAAACUAAAUUACGUACAGGGGGAGUGGUUGAAGAAGAAAAGCACAAUGGAGCGUAGAUGUCAAAGAUGAAGAUAUCUUCCACUAAAUCAUCUGCCUCGUCAAGGUAAUCCUCACAUUUCUCUGUUACAGUAUUUGGGGUAGAAAAAUUGCAGUUCAGUUGAAUUCCUUGAUUGACUUCGUCGGAGAUCAAGGCGUGAGUCCAGAAGAAGUUCGUACAUUCCUUUGACACCCGUUUCAAAAUCGACCCAAGCAUUUCCAAUGAUGAGUUGAGCAAGCUGAGCUGUUCUGGAGUCUCCACUCAAGUUGUAAUCUGAUGUUGUACUCGAAUAUGAAAAUCCAACACCAGCUGGGGAUUCGAGGAAGAUAACAUUUGCCGCUGCAGAUGACAGGAAAAAUUAGACAGUCGUUCCCGCAAAGAGAGGAGUGGUGGGGUAACUCACCAUUGUUCCAUGCAUAUUCAUUUAGCGAGAGAGUUUCUCCAUCACUAUCGACUCGAAAUGGUCCAAGUUCCAUCAUUGCACCAUUACCAAAUGAAGAACAUCCAGGUCCUGAAUGCACCACAGCAAUAUCCGAAUUUCGUAACAUUUAUUAUUCGCUAUGCAUUCAGCACUAUUCAUGUAAAAUUAACAAGAUUAAUUGGUCACUAUUAUUUACCUCCAUUAAGCCACAAAACUAGAGGAUUUGUUGAAGAAUUUUGAGGAGACUCAGCAAAAUAGUAAAAAAGUGCUCUUCCAUGUCCAGCAUCAACUGCCACAUAACCUGAGUACUGGUUAAAACUCACUCCUUGUUCAGGUUGCCCAGGCAGGGCAUCGAUUUUAUCGGCUUCCUUCAAUCCAUCUUGCGUGCCCAUGUAAACUGACGAGUAUUCUGCAGUCGAUUUGGUCGCGUAUCCUUCGACUUGUACAGACUUUGAAGACGCCAACUGUGCCUUAAUGAUUUUACCUAAUGGGGA